GCCAAGCAGAAUCCUGGCAGCAAAUUGAGGACUUCCUGUUAGCUAACAGGAACUUCCUGUUAGCUAGCCUAACCCAUAACGCCACACCCCUACCUGCAGUGAGCUGCAACCAGGCACAGAUCUUGUACACGGUGGCGGCGCUGCAGAAGCGGAACAGGCAAAGACACAACACGCUGGUCCACACCGCCCACAGGGACACGCCCACCAGGACCGCCACCGACUGGAAGGACGGCAGAGGCGACAGACUAGACAAACGACCGCGACAAUCUGGAACCGGACGGUCCGACUCCAGGCACACCUGUCAUGGAACAACACAACCACAGUUAAAAAGGUCCGUAAAUCACGUGACUCUCCAGGACCAAUCAAUAGUCAACCUCAAAUAAUCCCAGGGUGCCGCUAGGUGGAGCUGUUCCUACUCCCGGGUGGUGGGAAUCUGAAGUUCCGAUCCAUGACGGCUGCACCAGAACCACCACCUGGAUGACGGCGAAGCACAGCGUGCACACGGCCCAAAGCACGCCCACCGCACGCGCACUACGCACGAACUCUGUCUGGUAGAGACGAGACAGGUCCGCCAGGUCCGGAGACGCCAUCACGUGACUUAGAUCACUUGCCUUCCUUGGCGGUACAAAAGCAUGUGGAAUAACAUCAUAACGUCGAGUGACGUAAUGAUCAUCGGCAAACGUACAAAACGAAAACGAAACCAACCUGCAGAUGUUUGACGUGCACGCACACGCCGCUUGGAAGGAUCGAGGCGCGUGACCGCAGCUGGAUGCUAUGGAUGGCACGCGCAGGAGAGAUGCUCAUGCAAGUCGGGGCGAGAGAGAGAGAGCGCGAGCGACGUCUGCAGGAGGCGGAAGGAACUGCAGGGUGGGAUCUCCUCUCCGAACUUGGCGCUGUGGGCUGCAUUCUUGGCAUCAAAUACGACCUGGAGGCACAAAUGACGUCAAUGAUCAACAAUGGCGGGGGGAACAUCUCUCCGCAAAUCAGCUCCAGAGUCCCCUGAGGCUUGGACCAACCACACGCUCCCUCUGGCUCGUCUCCCACGGCAACCGUUGUUGACGCUGCAGCAUCGACCUGAGCACAUUGAGAAAACUUUCAUGGCAGGAAAUCAGAAAUAAAAGUAACCAGCUACUGAAGGGGAAGGAGGCGGAGCCUGAGACACCGGACAUGACUCCGCCUUUGCAUACUCGUCACAGUGGAUGUCGGACCUGCCCACUGGAGUGGAAGAGGUCUGACUGAGGUCCAAGCUGGCCAAUCCCUGUGUGAGCUGGUCCAGACUACACUGCGCCUGAUUGGACAAUGAAGUUUAUCUGGACCGCUUUGUCUUGACUUCCUGCCUUUGCUUUGGCGACUCCGUUUCUCAUGUGACUUCGGGGAAGGUACGGCUGCUCGUACGGAGUCUGGGACUGAGGUGAAAGCGACUUCCAGUAAGGGGCGUGGUGGCGGAUGACCUCGUUGAUGGUUGUCACGGCACUGCGGUGAGGCGGGGGCAGGGGUAUCAGCAGUGAAGGCGGGGGGUCGCCGAGCAACACGCUUGUACACAUGGCCAUGGAUUCGGAGAUGGACGUCAAGUUGUAACCGCCCUAAAGAGAGAUGUCACUUCCUCUUCGUCUUCGUCUUCACCUUCACCGGUCAUAGAUCUGUGAUCAGCUGACUUACCUCGAGUAUGAGCAAGACCCGCCCACCGGCCAAUGACAUCAGCAUAAGCAAUCGGCAUGACGAUAUGGUGAAAGGCGGCAAGAUACUCGGCGUCCCCCAUUCGCCCGCCACUCCACCCCACAUUGACGUUGAAUCCGGCCCCCUCUGCCACGCCCACCCUGCCAGGAGCGGCGUCCUCCGAGGACGGGAAAAACGUUCCGUUGUCGUAGCGAUGGAGCGAGACAUAUAGGACGCUGGAAAACAGGAAGUGAAGAUAAUAACACAUUUCCCGUCACUUGAAUCGACUUCCUCACCUGCUGUCGUCCUCAAACAUGUGCUGGGUGCCGUUGCCGUGGUGAACGUCCCAGUCUAGGAUAAGCACGCGGAGAGGUGCAUGAUGGGAGAUCUUCUGAGCGUAGCGAGCGGCGAGCGCUGCUGUGUUGAAGAAACAAAAACCACAUGCGGAGUCUCUUUCUGCGUGAUGGCCUGGUGGACGCACAAUGGCCACGCCGUUCCUCACCUGCACACACACACACACAUAUAUACACACCAGACUGAAUAUGAAGACUUGAACCAGGCACCCUGUGGUCCAGCUAGUUUUAUACCUGUCCAUUCAGGAUGUGGUCCAGAAUAUUGAAGCAGCUUCCAACAGCCAACAUGGCCGACUGGAAGCUCUGAUUGUUGAUGUAGAUGGAGUUGUAUUCCUCUCCAAGCUUAUGCAGAUCCCUUGCCUUCAUCGUGGAUGUGGACUUCAUAUGCUGGAUGUAGUCCGCACUACACACACACACACACACACACACACACACACACACACACACAGUCAU